rnacentral:misc_RNA from 1 species
UACGGAGGAUGCAAGCGUUAUCCGGAUUUAUUGGGUUUAAAGGGAGCGUAGGCGGACUUUUAAGUCAGCUGUGAAAGUUUACGGCUCAACCGUGAAAUUGCAGUUGAUACUGGUAGUCUUGAGUACAGUAUAGGUGGGCGGAAUUCGUGGUGUAGCGGUGAAAUGCUUAGAUAUCACGAAGAACUCCGAUUGCGAAGGCAGCUCACUGGAGUGUAACUGACGCUGAUGCUCGAAAGUGUGGGUAUCAAACAGG